CAUGCAAGUCGAGCGAAGCUUUUCAGUAGUUUACUACAGAAAAUGACUGAGCGGCGAACGGGUGAGUAACGCGUGAGCAAUCUACCUUAGUUACAGGGAUAGCCCGAGGAAACUCGGAUUAAUACCUGAUAUUCUUUAUUUCUCGCAUGAGAAUAAAAGGAAAGGUCAGCCGAACUAAGAUGAGCUCGCGUUCUAUCAGCUAGUUGGUGAGGUAAAAGCUUACCAAGGCUACGACGGAUAGCUGGUCUGAGAGGACGAUCAGCCACACUGGGACUGAGACACGGCCCAGACUCCUACGGGAGGCUGCAGCAGGGAAUACUGUGCAAUGAACGAAAGUUUGACACAGCGACACCGCGUGUGGGAUGACGGAUCUAGGUUUGUAAACCACUUUCAGGAGGGAAGAAAAUGACGGUACCUCCACAAGAAGCCCCGGCCAACUACGUGCCAGCAGCCGCGGUAAUACGUAGGGGGCGAGCGUUGUCCGGAUUUAUUGGGCGUAAAGAGCUCGUAGGCGGUUCAACAAGUCGGUCGUGAAAGUUCAGGGCUCAACCCUGAAAUGUCGAUCGAUACUGUUGUGACUAGGAUACGGUAGAGGUGAGUGGAAUUCCGAGUGUAGCGGUGAAAUGCGUAGAUAUUCGGAGGAACACCAAUUGCGAAGGCAGCUCACUGGGCCGCUAUCGACG
rnacentral:rRNA from 1 species